UGAAUCGCUAAUGUACCCCGGACUCUGGGAUAGCUGGCCGAAAGGCCAGGUAAUACCAGAUGACAUCACUUCCCUGCAUGGGGAGGUGCUCAAAGGUCCGCCGGUCUGGGAGCAGGCGAUUUCGUAUCAGCUAGUUGGUGAGGUAACGGCUCACCAAGGCGACGACGCGUAGCCGGACUGAGAGGUUGGCCGGCCACAUUGGGACUGAGACACUGCCCAG
rnacentral:rRNA from 1 species